UCAGGGAGGUGAAACAGCUUGCUUGCUGCCACCCAGCUUGGCACAGUGCCUGGCCUACGCAGAGAGGGGACGAGGAGCCGAGAAAGAAGGAACUCCAGGAUGCUCCUCAGACACAGGUCGUGAUUAUUCUGAAAGGUGACUGGUAGGAAAAGUACAGGAUUAUCUUUUUCAAGAAGCAAUCACAAGUCCUAAGAAGAUUUUCGACAAUGGAAAGGAUUUUUUUCUUCCUUGUAAUGAACAGAUUAAAAGCUUAAUCCCCA